rnacentral:rRNA from 1 species
GAAUCCUGGCUCAGGACGCAACGCUGGCGGCGUGCCUAAUACAUGCAAGUCGAGCGGAUCUUCAUUAGCUUGCUUUUGAAGAUCAGCGGCGGACGGGUGAGUAACACGUGGGCAACCUGCCUGUAAGACUGGGAUAACUUCGGGAAACCGGAGCUAAUACCGGAUAAUCCUUUCCCUCACAUGAGGGAAAGCUGAAAGACGGUUUCGGCUGUCACUUACAGAUGGGCCCGCGGCGCAUUAGCUAGUUGGUGAGGUAACGGCUCACCAAGGCAACGAUGCGUAGCCGACCUGAGAGGGUGAUCGGCCACACUGGGACUGAGACACGGCCCAGACUCCUACGGGAGGCAGCAGUAGGGAAUCUUCCGCAAUGGACGAAAGUCUGACGGAGCAACGCCGCGUGAACGAUGAAGGCCUUCGGGUCGUAAAGUUCUGUUGUCAGGGAAGAACAAGUACCGGAGUAACUGCCGGUACCUUGACGGUACCUGACCAGAAAGCCACGGCUAACUACGUGCCAGCAGCCGCGGUAAUACGUAGGUGGCAAGCGUUGUCCGGAAUUAUUGGGCGUAAAGCGCGCGCAGGCGGUUCCUUAAGUCUGAUGUGAAAGCCCCCGGCUCAACCGGGGAGGGUCAUUGGAAACUGGGGAACUUGAGUGCAGAAGAGGAGAGCGGAAUUCCACGUGUAGCGGUGAAAUGCGUAGAGAUGUGGAGGAACACCAGUGGCGAAGGCGGCUCUCUGGUCUGUAACUGACGCUGAGGCGCGAAAGCGUGGGGAGCGAACAGGAUUAGAUACCCUGGUAGUCCACGCCGUAAACGAUGAGUGCUAAGUGUUAGAGGGUUUCCGCCCUUUAGUGCUGCAGCAAACGCAUUAAG